rnacentral:rRNA from 1 species
GGAAGGUCCGGGCGUUAUCCGGAUUUAUUGGGUUUAAAGGGAGCGUAGGUGGACUGGUAAGUCAGUUGUGAAAGUUUGGGGCUCAACCGUAAAAUUGCAGUUGAUACUGUCAGUCUUGAGUACAGUAGAGGUGGGCGGAAUUCGUGGUGUAGCGGUGAAAUGCUUAGAUAUCACGAAGAACUCCGAUUGCGAAGGCAGCUCACUGGACUGCAACUGACACUGAUGCUCGAAAGUGUGGAUAUCAAACAGGAUUAGAUACCCUGGUAGUCCACACAGUAAACGAUGAAUACUCGCUGUUUGCGAUAUACAGUAAGCGGCCAAGCGAAAGCAUUAAGUAUUCCACCUGGGGAGU